ACAGGGAUUUCUGGGGUGAAGCCUGCGGUGAUCUCCUGGCUUGAAGGAGGAGCCCUAAGGUGGGGUAGAAGAGGCAUGUGUGCAGAAAGGAAAUCACAGCUUCAGGGGAUUUCACUGCAACAAUUUGAUUUGGCAAUUGAGUCACCAAAAACGAGUGAGUCGUUUCUUUUCACAGAGACUAUAAAGGAAUGGAGCAGUAAUUGGAAUCCUCCUGUGCAUUGUACAAGGAAGCAGCCAACCCCAGUGGAAUGUCUCUGAUCCUGCACUCUGUGACAAUAUCUCCAAGUCAGCAAUCCCGCCCUCUGCUCCAUGGGGAUGCUGAGAAAGGCUAAUGUCUUCUGAGGGAUAUCAGUGUGGAGAGAGCGACCUCACUGUGAAGAACCUCUCACCUGGGAAAAGUUCCUCACAGUCUGUUCUCCUCAGUUUCUGUACACAAACACCUCAAGGCAGCAGCCCCAGGAAUGUGGGAGAGGAGCACUGUUUAUAGUGAGUCCCACAUUCCGACAUUGGCAUAAGGAAAGUCACCAUGUACUGACCCUGUCCAAGAAUAAUGUUCCUUUAGAAACCUACAGUAGACAGAAUCCCCAGGAUCGUUACCAGGGAGAACAAACUUUGAGGCAGGUAUCAUCGCAGUGUGUCAGUGCAAAGAUUCCAAACUGGAGUGAAACUGUUUAUGUUUACAGACUGUGGGAACGCUUUCACUUCCCCCUCAAAACGUAUUAUACAUCAGAGAAUUCACACUGCUGAGAAACCUCAUGCAUGUGAGCAAUGUGGAGAGGCCUUUACCUUGUCCUCACAACUUGAUGGCCUCAGGGAAAUUCAUACAGGAAUGAAAACUUACUCAUGGCAGGACUGUGGGAAGGCCUAAACUUGCUCCUCUGAUCUCUUUCAUCACAGAAAGAGUCAUUCUGGAGAGAAACCUUAUUCACGUCAGGACUGUGGAAAGGUCUUUGCUUAUCACUGAAGCCAUUCUGUGCACAAGGAUAAUCACACUGGAGAGAAACAGUGAUUUUGUAAGACAUAUGGAAAGGCCUUCACUUGAUGGGCAGCCCUUAAAGGGCACAUGAAUACUCAUUCUGGAGAGAAGUCUUAUAUAUGUCAGGAGUGGGGGAAGAACUUUAGCAGAUCCUCAGUUCUUAGUAUACAUAGGAGAAUUCAUACUGGCAAGAAACUUCAUAAACUUAAGGCAUGUGGAAAGGCUUUCAGUGAUUUAUGAGCCCUUAAUAGGCAUGUGAAUACUCAUACUGGAGAGAAGCCCUUUGUAUGUCAGGAGUGUGGGAAGACCUUUAGCAGAUCCACGUAUCUUACUGUACAUAGUAGAAAUCCCAGCCUUAUGUAUGUCAGGAGUUUUGGAAGGCCUUCAGCAUGUCCUCCUAUCUUUCAGUACAUAGGAGAAUUCACACUGGAGAGAAGCCUCAUAAUUUUUAAGUUUGUGGAAGGGUCUUCACUCAGCAGUCAAUCUUUACUCAGCAUAUGAGAAGUCAUACUGGAGAGAUGCCUUAGUAGUGUCAGGAAUGUGGGAAGGCCUUUAGCUCAUGCUCAGUGCUCACUGUACAUAGGAGAACUCAUUUGGGAGUAUGUCUGGAGUGUGGGUAGAUCUUUCUCAGAUACUCAGAGCUGACUAGACAUAAUAGAAUGCACACUGUCGAGAAACCUUAGAAAACGCAAGGCAUAUAGAAAGUCCUUCAUUUGAUCAUCUUCCCUUAUAACACAUAUGGGUACGUACAGUGCAGAGAAGUCUUAUGUAUGUCAGGAGUCUGGGAAGGCCUGACAUUCAUAAGGCAUAAUACAGUAGUAGGAUAGCCUUAACACUUAUGUGUACUCAUAGGAGAAUUCACACUUGAGAGAAACCAUAUUAAUGUAAGGACUGUGAGACAGCCUUCAUCAGCACCAGCGAUUUCAUACUAGAGAGAAAUUGAAUGUGAGAAAUGUGGAAAGCGUAUUAUUUCUCAUGCCUUUGUGUUGGGGCUGGACUGAGCUAUCAGGGUGAGCCCAUGUAUACUGUACCGUACUACGGACAGGAACAUAGGGACCCAUGAAAAUGGGCGAGACUUCUCGUGUGUCCUGACUGGUUUGGAUGAAGCUGAACAUUUUCCCCCUUCAAGCUGCCUUCAGAAAAAUAAUUUCAGAAUACUGAAAAGAGCAGUUUUUCCUUCUCUCACAGAAGCCUGGCUGGUCUUUGACAUGCAGAUGGUGUUAGCCAGGCCUGACCUUUGAUAUUGUAAAUUGUAGAUUUCAGGUGCAGGCCCAGCUUUGUCUUUGGGAUGCAGAUUUCAGGUGCCUGCCCAGUUUGUAUUUGAAGUGGCAAGCACAGCCUAGUCUUUGGGAUGUAAAUCCAGGUGCCUGAAGAAGGUUUCAGUUUCGGUUUUGUAUCUUUCCCUUCUCAGUUAUGUAUUCUUUUCCCGAGGCUAUAGGCCUACCCAUACAAGGAAACAAUAUGUUCCAUUGUCUCAAUGUUCUCCCUGUAACAUUUUUUGAUGCCUUUGGUGACGUCACUAUAUUGCGCCCUUUAGAGGUACCAUGAUUAAUAAAAGGAGGUCCACGAGGCCCUCUGCCUUUGCUAAGAGCCAGAGCGAGCCUUAGUCCUCCAAUCAGUGAAUAUUUCUUCCGCGUUCCUAUCUCAGCGCCUCCGAUUGCAGAACGUUCACGCAACACCUUUGUAGUCAUAGGAACAAUACUGGAGAGAAGCUAUAUGUUUCCCUUUUUCCUCCAUUUUUUAAAUUUUAGUUCUGGGGUUCUGAGUUGUUUUGGGUGGUGUAUGUUGUAUAAUCUGGAGAAUGGGGAUAUCCCUCACAAAUUAUGCAAGGAUGUGAAUCGGAUCAAGUAGAGUCAUUGCUGUGAAAUUAUUUUGUAAGUUAUAAAGUGAGAGCCUGGCAAGCUACCCGUGGCAUACUUGAUGUGCCAAAAAUAUUAACAAUGACGGUCCUCAUUCAGCUGACCCUGAGAGAUCCCCCAAUACGCCAUCAGCCUACACUGGCAUGUGCCAGGGACAAAUGGAGACGUUACUGGCACCCACUCGAGCAAAUUGAUGAACAACAGGAUGACAGUUCUACAGUGAAGUUAUAAAGUGCCAUUUGAACAUUAGGCACAUGGAUGUGGCAUAUAAAUAUAAGUCGGUAUUUCUGGCUUUAAUCUUUAUUUUAAAGUUGGCUUAUUAGUAUAAAGUAGCAGAUUAUGUUAAAGGAAUUUGGGGGAGAAAUGACGUAUUAAUAAUGUUUUGGGGAAAGGGUUCUGAUCACUGUUAGGUCAUAGAAAACAAUAAGACUUGCAGUUUAUUUGGGUCAUUUGUAUUUGGGAUAAUUAAGUGGGUAAUCCCCUCUGGUCACUUUGUCUUCUGACAUCUUCUUUCUGUGUGCUGGCCUCCUCUUACCACUUAAUCCGUCCUAACUUCUCCUCCAGGCAGUGACCUUUACAGUGCAGCUAUAUUUUCAUUCAUUAUUAGUGGGCUUAUAUGUUGGGCCUGUCAUCAGAUUGGACGGUGUGAAAUCAUCAUUUUGGUUGGUUAAAAACAGUCAGUUCAGCUUGCUCAGAUUAAUACAAUAGGUACUCAAUAAAGUGUUGCUAAUUCUCUCAUUGGAUCAAUAAGCCAAGCAGGGUGUUUUGCUUUCUAGCUCCUUGGAUCGUGGUUUUUUAUGAUUUUUUUAUGCUUCUAAUCCCUUAUCAGAAUAAGAAUUUUUGGUGCUUAAAAUGCAUAUCUACAAAUAAUGCCAGUUACAUUGAAAUACAGUUAUGGAAAUUAAAAGAAUCCAAACUUGUCACAUAGU